rnacentral:rRNA from 1 species
GGGGAAUAUUGCACAAUGGGCGAAAGCCUGAUGCAGCGACGCCGCGUGAGGGAUGACGGCCUUCGGGUUGUAAACCUUUUUCGCUCAUGGUCAAGCCGCAACAAUGGUUGUGGUGAGGGUAGUGGGUAAAGAAGCGCCGGCUAACUACGUGCCAGCAGCCGCGGUAAUACGUAGGGCGCGAGCGUUGUCCGGAAUUAUUGGGCGUAAAGGGCUUGUAGGCGGUUGGUCGCGUCUGCCGUGAAAUCCUCUGGCUUAACUGGGGGCGUGCGGUGGGUACGGGCUGACUUGAGUGCGGUAGGGGAGACUGGAACUCCUGGUGUAGCGGUGGAAUGCGCAGAUAUCAGGAAGAACACCGGUGGCGAAGGCGGGUCUCUGGGCCGUUACUGACGCUGAGGAGCGAAAGCGUGGGGAGCGAACAGGAUUAGAUACCCUGGUAGUCCACGCUGUAAACGUUGGGCACUAGGUGUGGGGGCCACCCGUGGUUUCUGCGCCGUAGCUAACGCUUUAAGUGCCCCGCCUGGGGAGUACGGCCGCAAGGCUA